AAUACUCGUGCAUUGCAUUUUUUAUAAUAUGUUUAUAUAUCUUUAUCAAUGAGGAAAUAAAUUCACGGGGACUGCUCUCCCACUCAUCGGUUAAUAUUUCUACGAUCCACUUCUCCGCGCUCCCCCUCAUCCGUAGAAACUCGAGGAAAAAGUCCAAGCUUUUGAGGUUACGUGAAAUUCAUUCACCCUUCGUUGUAUUUGUCCAUAAAUAAGUAAACAUCGCGAGCCAACGAGACACCGUCGAACUUCAAGCACCCGUGUUGCCCCGCGCAAAGCCUUUUCGUUUGCGAGCGAAUGAUUUAUGCACGUGACAUCUCGAUGGACUCGAUGUAGUUGUACAUGGAGUGGGGGGAGAUCGCCUUGUGGACGCAUCGGCGAACACGAAAACACGACCGGAAUAUUACGGCAUAAGAAAGCUCAAACUGCUCAAAGGGAACUCCACCGAAUGUUGGAAAAUUCAAAAAAUCUACGAAUAUUACGGGACGGCCCGGAAAAGUGCGGAGAAUUUAAAAAAAACGGCCACCGUACCGCUCGACUGUGCGCUCUGACGGGUCUGACUACGCGCGGAUCACCGAGUGAACAAGUUAUCGUCGAGGAACAACAUUGGCGUACUGUGUGUUCUCCGGAGCUCUCAUACUAUGGAUUUGAAUCGUUCGAGUCGGUCAAGUUUUUCGGCUCAGUUUUGAAGUGAAAAAUGGAGUGGACGAGGGGAAUCCUGGCGAUUGAAUAACUGAUGGAGCGAUAGAAUAUUCGCGCUGUUAAGAUGUAAACUUUUGAAAAUAGGCACGGUCGCUCUUGGUGCCGAGUUCUUUCGAUAUUUUUCGUAACGCUCGUGCCGCUGUGAGGGAUCGCGCGAAGAAACAGUGAGAAAACAAAUUUGCUUCGAAAGUAUUUCUGCAGAGGAGAAAUCUCUCUCGUUGUCGUUUCGCUCGCUUGUGUCCGUGAAUUUGAUCACACGUAUCCUCAACGCAAGACGUUCAAAGAUCUGCCGGGGCGAGUUUUUCGAAGGCAUGACCACGUACGCAAGCGAUUCGGCGUUAGAUAAUUUGCGCAAGGAAUCGCGCGGCGAUAACCGGUUUUUAUUAUUUCAUCAAUUUCUAAUUGGGACAAAAAGAGAUGAAACAUUUCUCUGGAAUUUCUGAUUCAAUUUUUCUCAAUGGGGAGUCCUCUAUGGACGGAAACGAAUUUGAUUUAUUCACGUGAUUUAUGGCACUUUGAAAAUUGCUCGGUUUCCCUGCUCUAUCAAUAAUUUUCUUAAAAUUGUUCUGAUUUAUAUGUUUCCAGGGUUCGAUCACACGUGAAAUUUGUCCUGCAGGAGGUGCGCCAGAAGUCGUUCGGAUUUGCCCGUUGCUGAAAUAGAUUCGUGUAUUUAUUUCGUACGUCGACUCGGGAUUUUACACUCUAGCCGAAUGUACGUACGGAUAGACGCAGAUCAAAGAGGUGUUUUACGUCAAAAUACGAACUUUGCGUCUGACCCCGAGUCUAUUGAGAGCGAAGUUAGUGAUUUUUCGCUUAGUGCGGUGCGAGUCAAAAAUAAACGAAAUUUACAAGCUUCGAAUGUAACUCGAAUCGAUAGGGCUGCGAAUGAAAACGUGCGAGCAUCCGGGGAAAAUGUUCAAAAUAAAUUAUUCGGGAUUUUUAUCAUUUCGAGCAGAUGCCAAGUGGCUGAAGUCUCGGAAUGCGAAGUCAACGUACGGGAAAAAAAUCUCUACGAAUCGCAACACAAUUCGUGCGUAAGUGCGUUUGUGCGAAGCUCCGCUCGCGGUUUCUCCUAACGAAACGCGCUCGGAAUAAUCAUAAAGAACACCAUUAACACCAGCUCCUCAUUCUCCGUCAUAUCAACACGAUGGAAAACCCACUGGAUACUCGGAAUGAUAAAUUAUUUAAUGACUCAGCAAGCUAACUUGCUCGAUCGUCAAAAUCUAGUCAAAAUUUUCAUUUUUUAAAUUUGUUUGUUUUUUUCUUCAUUUUUCAAUAAAAAAAAAAUAUCGACAGUGACA
rnacentral:misc_RNA from 1 species